GUAAGGAAUAUUGGUCAAUGGGGGCAACCCUGAACCAGCCAUGCCGCGUGCAGGAAUAAGGUCCUAUGGAUUGUAAACUGCUUUUAUUCGGGAAUAAACCUCUUUACGUGUAGGGAGCUGAAGGUACCGAAGGAAUAAGCACCGGCUAACUCCGUGCCAGCAGCCGCGGUAAUACGGAGGGUGCAAGCGUUAUCCGGAAUCACUGGGUUUAAAGGGUACGUAGGCGGUUAAUUAAGUCAGUAGUGAAAGACUGUCGCUCAACGACGGAUGUGCUAUUGAUACUGGUUAACUUGAAUCAGGUUAGAGGUGGCGGAAUGGGUCAUGUAGCGGUGAAAUGCUUAGAUAUGACUUGGAACACCGAUAGCGAAGGCAGCUGACUGAGCCUUGAUUGACGCUGAGGUACGAAAGUGUGGGUAGCGAACAGGAUUAGAAACCCCUGUAGUCC
rnacentral:rRNA from 1 species